UGCCUAAUACAUGCAAGUCGAACGUGAAGUGUAGCAAUACAUGGAAAGUGGCGAACGGGUGAGUAACACGUAAGUAAUCUACCUUUAAGUUUGGGAUAACCUUGCCAACGCGGGGCUAAUACCGGAUGUGAUCAGUUGAGCGCAUGUUUAGCUGAUUAAAGGAGUAAUUCGCUUAAAGAUGAGCUUGCGGCCCAUUAGUUAGUUGGCGGGGUAACGGCCCACCAAGACCGCGAUGGGUAGCCGGCCUGAGAGGGUGUACGGCCACAUUGGGACUGAGAUACGGCCCAGACUCCUACGGGAGGCAGCAGUAGGGAAUUUUGCGCAAUGGACGAAAGUCUGACGCAGCAACGCCGCGUGAGGGAUGACGGCCUUCGGGUUGUAAACCUCUGUUGGAUGGGAAAAAAGGUAGCAAUAUUUGAUGGUACCAUUCGAGUAAGCACCGGCUAACUACGUGCCAGCAGCCGCGGUAAUACGUAGGGUGCAAGCGUUGUUCGGAAUCACUGGGCGUAAAGGGAGUGUAGGCGGGAUCGUAAGUUAGGAGUUUAAUCCACGGGCUCAACCUGUGGUCUGCUUUUAAUACUGCGGUUCUUGAGUAUGGGAGAGGGCGAUGGAAUUCCAGGUGUAGCGGUGGAAUGCGUAGAUAUCUGGAAGAACACCAGUAGCGAAGGCGGUCGCCUGGCCCAAUACUGACGCUGAUACUCGAAAGCUAGGGGAGCAAACAGGAUUAGAUACCCUGGUAGUCCUAGCCGUAAACGAUGAACACUAGUUGCUGGAGGAGUCAAUCUUUUCGGUGACGAAGCUAACGCAUUAAGUGUUCCGCCUGGGAAGUACGCUCGCAAGAGUGAAACUCAAAGGAAUUGACGGGGGCCCGCACAAGCGGUGGAGCAUGUGCUUUAAUUCGAUGCAACGCGAAGAACCUUACCUAGGCUUGACAUGGGGGUGAAAUUCUGUAGAAAUAUAGAACCUUCCGCAAGGAACACCCUACACAGGUGCUGCAUGGUUGUCGUCAGCUCGUGUCGUGAGAUGUUAGGUUAAGUCCUGCAACGAGCGCAACCCUCGUCCUUAGUUGCUAACAGGUUACGCUGAGAACUCUAAGGAGACUGCCUGGUUUAACCAGGAGGAAGGUGGGGAUGACGUCAAAUCCUCAUGGCCCUUACGCCUAGGGCUA
rnacentral:rRNA from 1 species